rnacentral:rRNA from 1 species
UACGUAGGGUGCAAGCGUUGUCCGGAAUUAUUGGGCGUAAAGAGCUCGUAGGCGGUCUGUCGCGUCGGCUGUGAAAAACCCGGGGGCUCAACCCCCGGGCCUGCAGUCGAUACGGGCAGACUAGAGUUCGGUAGGGGAGACUGGAAUUCCUGGUGUAGCGGUGAAAAUGCGCAGAUAUCAGGAGGAACACCGGUGGCGAAGGCGGGUCUCUGGGGCCGAUACUGACGCUGAGGAGCGAAAGCGUGGGGAGCGAACAGG